rnacentral:rRNA from 1 species
AACGAACGCUGGCGGCAGGCUUAACACAUGCAAGUCGAGCGCCUCGCAAGAGGAGCGGCAGACGGGUGAGUAGCGCGUGGGAACGUACCCUUAUCUUCGGAAUAGCUCUGGGAAACUGGAAGUAAUACCGAAUGUGCCCUUAGGGGGCAAGAUUUAUCGGAUAAGGAUCGGCCCGCGUUGGAGUAGCUAGUUGGUGGGGUAAAGGCCUACCAAGGCGACGAUCCAUAGCUGGUCUGAGAGGAUGAUCAGACACAUUGGGACUGAGACACGGCCCAAACUCCUGCGGGAAGCAGCAGGGGGGAAUAUUGGACAAGGGGCGCAAGCCUGAGCCAGCCAGGCCGCGUGAGUGAUGAAGGCCUUAGGGUUGUAAAGCUCUUUCACCGGAGAAGAUAAUGACGGUAUCCGGAGAAGAAGCCCCGGCUAACUUCGUG